CAAUAGCGUAUAUUAAAGUUGUUGCAGUUAAAAAGCUCGUAGUUGGACCUUGGACCUGGACAGGCGGUCCGCCUCACGGCGUGUACUGUCUUGCUGGGUCUUUCCUCUUGGUGAUCUGUUGUUUCGGCAGCAGGGAACCAGGACUUUUACUUUGAAAAAAUUAGAGUGUUCAAAGCAGGCUCGACGCCGGAAUAUAUUAGCAUGGAAUAAUAAAAUAGGACGUGCGGUUCUAUUUUGUUGGUUUUUGGAAUCGCCGUAAUGAUUAAUAGGGACAGUCGGGGGCAUUAGUACUCACAUGCUAGAGGUGGAAUUCUUGGAUUUUGUGAAGACUAACUUCUGCGAAAGCAUUUGCCAAGGAUGUUUUCAUUAA
rnacentral:rRNA from 1 species